UGUGCAUGUGUGUAUAGUUGUGUGC
rnacentral:miRNA from 1 species